UGCAUGCCAGCGUGCCUGAGCCCCGGCGCUGUGGCGCUGGCCGGUGCCAUCAGAAGCCGGGAGGGGAACAGCAGUAAUGGCAGUGGUGAACCUGCCGCGCUCCUGGAGCCCGGCGAGCUCUGGGAUGAGGCCGGGAGCCGCGGGUCCGCGCACUCGGUGGGUUUUCCCUCUGCGCAGCCCCCGCACGGAUAGUUUAGGGGUUUGCUGAAUGUCCGGGGCUGUCUGCUGUGGGUUCUGUGCUCGCCGAGUCGUUCCCCUCGGGGACAGGACGUUCUUUCCGUCCUCCUGCGCAGCCGGAGUCUCGGGCUGCUGGAAUUCCAGCUGCUGGCUUGUUUCGAGCUCGGUCGCCUGGGAGCUUUGCUCUGAGGUGAAGCCAAGGCCAGAAGCGAAUCGAUGCCUCAUUCUAAUUUCUGCUGCGUUGCACAGAGCUGUCCCGCUCUUCACAGACGUUGUUUGGGUCCCUGUUACAACCUAAUCAUGCCGUAAACCGGUGCUGCAGCCCGGUGCUGGGUCUGGCGUCCAUCGGUCGUGCCCCACAGCUGCGGCCGCUCGCCCGAGCAGCCGCCCGUUCCCGUGUGGGCCGUUUGUUCCUAGGAAGCCGAGCUGAGGCCCGUCCGUGCUCGGUCAGGUUUGGAAGGAGUUUCUGCGUGUGAAGUGUGCUGUGCAGGUGGGCUUGUCGCACUCAGCAGCUGGAGACACCUUUUUGUUGAAUUUCCACAUUUCAAGGGGCAACUUGGGACUUCAAGUGGCGACUCUACUUGAGGGCUGCUUGUAGGAAGUAAAUAAAGCUGCCUGGCUAAUUUUCA